UGGUGGAGUGAUUUGUCUGGUUAAUUCCGUUAACGAACGAGACCUCGACCUGCUAAAUAGUACCGACAACUCUCGAGUUGGUUCGGGCACUUCUUAGAGGGACUAUCGGUGUUUCCUAGCCGAUGGAAGUUCGAGGCAAUAACA
rnacentral:rRNA from 1 species